GACGUAGGGCGCAAGCGUUGUCCGGAAUUAUUGGGCGUAAAGAGCUCGUAGGCGGCUUGUUGCGUCGACUGUGAAAACCCGUGGCUCAACCAUGUGGUCUGCAGUCGAUACGGGCAGGCUAGAAUUCGGUAGGGGAGACUGGAAUUCCUGGUGUAGCGGUGAAAUGCGCAGAUAUCAGGAGGAAUACCGGUGGCGAAGGCGGGUCUCUGGGCCGAUAUUGACGCUGAGGAGCGAAAGCGUGGGGAGCGAACAGG
rnacentral:rRNA from 1 species